AUACGUAGGUGGCAAGCGUUGUCCGGAAUUAUUGGGCGUAAAGCGCAUGUAGGCGGUAAUUUAAGUCUGUCGUGAAACUGCGGGGCUCAGCCCCGUAUGGCGAUGGAAACUGGGUUACUUGAGUGCAGGAGAGGAAAGGGGAACUCCCAGUGUAGCGGUGAAAUGCGUAGAUAUUGGGAAGAACACCGGUGGCGAAGGCGCCUUUCUGGACUGUGUCUGACGCUGAGAGGCGAAAGCCAGGGUAGCGAACGGGAUUAGAUACCCCGGUAGUCCGGGCCGUAAACGAUGGGUACUAGGUGUGGGAGGUAUCGACCCCUUCCGUGCCGGAGUUAACGCAAUAAGUACCCCGCCUGGGGAGUACGGCCGCAAGGCUUAAACUCAAAUGAAUUGACGGGG
rnacentral:rRNA from 1 species